rnacentral:rRNA from 1 species
UGAUUGAUUGGGGCUGCUCCUAGUACGAGAGGACCGGAGUGGACGCAUCACUGGUGUUCCAGUUGUCUCGCCAGAGGCAUUGCUGGGUAGCUAAAUGCGGAAGAGAUAAGUGCUGAAAGCAUCUAAGCACGAAACUUGCCAAGAGAUGAGUCAUCCCUGACUUUAAGUCAGUAAGGGUUGUUGUAGACUACGACGUAGAUAGGUCAGGUGUGUAAGUGUAGUGAUACAUUGAGCUAACAGAUACUAAUUGCCCGAGAGGCUUAACUAU